GAUACCCUAAUGAGGUGAAAUCGCUUAUUUUUCUUCCAAAAUAACAAAAAGGGGUCAAGGCAUCACUUUAAUCAACGAUUAGUAAAAAAAAUGGGAAAAUUAAAGAAAAUUAUGCAAACAUAAACUCACUUGGUCAUAAAACCCUUAAAAUUGUGAAUUAAGUGCAAUUUAGACAAAGCAUGGUGACUAAUUGAAGCAAGCAAGCAAUGAAGUUGCAAAAAUUAAAGCUGCCAAGGACCAAAUUGAUGAAGUUAUUCAAUUGAUUGGGUCCUAGUUGAAUUAUCCCAGAAAUAAGGGACUAGACUGCAGUUCUUAGAACAUUUUCAUGCAAGUUUUCAUGCAAAACUACGAAGAAUGCUUCUUUUAUCAUUGCUGGUUUCUGCAAUUUUCACUGCUAUGAUCUUCAUAUCAGAACGCAAGUGACAAAAUCCCAACAACAACAAUCUUUUGGACUCAAAACAAUACUUCACGCAUCUUAUCAUCAAAACUCAACUAUAUACUAUGCAUCCCCCAAAAUUUUCUUAUCCAGAUCAUGCACAGAAAGAAACCUAAGGACACGCCCUUCUGCAAAUUCUGGGUUCAUGCAACUUUCACAAGAUAUCAGAUAAUUCAUGCAAACGUCCAUAGCUUUCUUCUGUUGCAAAUUGUAGCUUAUCAAAACGCAACCAAAGUAACUUAAAGCUCUGCCGAAACAUCAAAACAAAUGCACAAGAUAAGAACCUAAAAUUCCAACCAUGAUCUUGCAAUCAAGAACAAACAAAAGAAGACUCAACAUUCACGGCAAACAUCUCUCCAGAUUCUCGGAUGGAGGCAAACGGGCAACUUUUCUUCACACACUUGGAGAAAUGGAAACUGAAAUGAUGACACAAUUGCAGACCAAAUGAUAAACUUCAAUGCUAACAAAUGCAAAUGAGUGUGGGGCUCGUGAAUUGCUAUAUAACAGCUUUAGGAAAUGCGGACUUCACGAGCUGCGAACUGUGGUGCAGCAUCUUGACAAAAUGGUUCCAGCUUAAUCAUGGAACUCACGGUUUCAUGCAACAAGAGAGGAGACCUUGAGACACGAGGGACAGACUUAUGACAUCACAAGCAAAAUGCAAACAAAGAGAACAAUAUGGACAGAAAUGUGGACAUGUAAAUAACCAACAAAGAAACGGAAAAAUACAUCAACAAGUGCAAGUGCGACCAGCAAACUUUUUUUUUUUGUUGUAUGCGUUCUGGGCAUGAAUCACACCCAUCAAAAGAAUCUCAGCAUCCCACAUACAAACAGACCCAAAGGAACAAUCUGACCAAACCAGAAAAUGAAUACCAAAUGCAUGGUUAAUAUUCAGGUCCCUCCCAGUUUAAAAAAAAUGCAUUCACAAGAAAGCAAUCUUCUUCACUGGCUUGUUGUUAUAAUUUUUCUUGCAAGUGAACUGAUAGCAUGCGAUAAAUUUAACCAGGAAAACAAUCCCAAAUAUUCAUCCAGCUUCCUAAACCUAUCACCAAAAUGUAACACUGAGCACACAACGUGGGAAAAAGAAAAAAAAAUUGAGCAGAGGAGGAAUUCAUUAGACCUCAGAUUCACUCUUUAUAUUCAAAGUUAAAGACUUUUUCAGACCCACUUUAACACCCGAAGUUGUUCAUGGUAUUUCACUCGAGUAUAGACAACAAAACAAACAGGUCAAGUGAGUAACCGCUGCAGCAAAACAAAGAAAAAGAAACCGACAUGCCCGAACUGCUGCAACAAGUCGAAAGAUUCAAUCUUGUUGCAGCAAACUCUUAAUCUUAGGACCCAAGAACGAAAGGCCAUACUCACAAAAGGAACCUCAAUAUCAGUCAUCAAAAAUACCAAAGAAACUUGUGAUUCUCAUAGUUUAGAAGUUGUCUAUAAGAAAAGGCAAAACUUACAGCGUCCUUUUUGGUGAUGGUCGACAGCAAGCGGCAACGGUGGUUGAUUCCGGUAGGUAGCGGCGGUCUCAGAUGACACCAGAUUCUUCUCCUCUCAACUUCACUCCCAGUUCUUCUUUUCUUUUUUUUUCUUUUGUUUCUGCCUUUCCUCUCUCAAUCUCGCUUCCCUCUCAGCCAGAAAACCCUCUUUUUUUGGCCGCCGUUUCCUUUUCUUUUCUGCUAUUUUCCUCAGCUAUUCGCUCCUUCGUUGCUGUUUUUGUUUCUUCUUGUUCAGCCGCCGCCCCCUUUUCUUUGCUUCCCCUUGCUGCCUUUUCCCAGUUUUCUCUUUCUUUUACCGUCAGCUUUCUCUAUCCCUCACUCUUGCUCUUGUUUUUUUUCAAAACCUAGCCGCUCUCCUCUUGCUCACUCCCCAAAACCCUCGCCGUUACUCUCUUCUCCCCUCUUUGGUUUCCUUUCCAAUUUCUUUCAACCCGCCACCAUCAGCCCCCUCAAACUCUCUUUUUCUCACUAUCCUGCUCCCCUUUUUCCUCCGUCUGUCCUGGUUUUCCAAUUUUUCCCUCAAUCCAGCCAUCAUAAACCCCUCUCCAUAAACUCCCUCUUCGCACCGCUUUAGCCGUCAACCUUAGCAGUUCCAGAAAACUCUCAGCCUUUCCCCAGCUCUCUGGUUUCUUGUUCUCUCUCAAAACCCUUACCGUUUUCUUUUUCUUUUUCCUGCUUUCUCCUCCUUAGCCCUCAACCGAGAGCUUCCCCUCUGUUUUCUGGUUUUUUUUUCGCUCCCUGCCUGC
rnacentral:lncRNA from 1 species